rnacentral:rRNA from 1 species
GAUGAACGCUGGCGGCGUGCCUAAUACAUGCAAGUCGAGCGAACGGACGAGAAGCUUGCUUCUCUGAUGUUAGCGGCGGACGGGUGAGUAACACGUGGAUAACCUACCUAUAAGACUGGGAUAACUUCGGGAAACCGGAGCUAAUACCGGAUAAUAUUUUGAACCGCAUGGUUCAAAAGUGAAAGACGGUCUUGCUGUAACUUAUAGAUGGAUCCGCGCUGCAUUAGCUAGUUGGUAAGGUAACGGCUUACCAAGGCAACGAUGCAUAGCCGACCUGAGAGGGUGAUCGGCCACACUGGAACUGAGACACGGUCCAGACUCCUACGGGAGGCAGCAGUAGGGAAUCUUCCGCAAUGGGCGAAAGCCUGACGGAGCAACGCCGCGUGAGUGAUGAAGGUCUUCGGAUCGUAAAACUCUGUUAUUAGGGAGAAACAUAUGUGUAAGUAACUGUGCACAUCUUGACGGUACCUAGUCAGAAAGCCACGGCUAACUACGUG